rnacentral:rRNA from 1 species
GACGAACGCUGGCGGCGUGCUUAACACAUGCAAGUCGAACGAUGAACCCGGAGCUUGCUCCGGUGGAUUAGUGGCGAACGGGUGAGUAACACGUGAGUAACCUGCCCUUGACUCUGGGAUAACUGCGGGAAACUGUAGCUAAUACCGGAUACGACCCUCGGCGGCAUCGCCAGGGGGUGGAAAGAAUUUCGGUCAAGGAUGGACUCGCGGUCUAUUAGCUAGUUGGUGAGGUAACGGCUCACCAAGGUGACGACGGGUAGCCGGCCUGAGAGGGUGACCGGCCACACUGGGACUGAGACACGGCCCAGACUCCUACGGGAGGCAGCAGUGGGGAAUAUUGCACAAUGGGCGCAAGCCUGAUGCAGCAACGCCGCGUGAGGGAUGACGGCCUUCGGGUUGUAAACCUCUUUUAGUAGGGAAGAAGCGAAAGUGACGGUACCUGCAGAAAAAGCACCGGCUAACUACGUGCCAGCCGCCGCCGUAA